AGAGACAGCAGCAGCCGCGGGAAUACGAAGGGGGCUAGCGUUGUUCGGAUUAACUGGGCGUAAGGGCGCGUAGGCGGGUUUUUAAGUCAGAGGUGAAAGCCCGGGGCUCAACCCCGGAACUGCCUUUGAAACUAGGUGACUAGAAUCUUGGAGAGGUCAGUGGAAUUCCGAGUGUAGAGGUGAAAUUCGUAGAUAUUCGGAAGAACACCAGUGGCGAAGGCGACUGACUGGACAAGUAUUGACGCUGAGGUGCGAAAGCGUGGGGAGCAAACAGGAUUAGAUACCCGUGUAGUCCCUGUCUCUUAUACC
rnacentral:rRNA from 1 species